GCUGGGCGUGGUGACGCGUGCCUGUAGUGCCUGCUACUCUGGAGGCUGAGGCAGGAGAAUCACUUGAACCCAGGAGGCGGAGAUUGCAGGGAGCCGAUACUGUGUCACUGCACUCCAGCCUGGUGACAGAGUGCGACUCCAUCUCAAAAAAAAAAAAAAAAGAAAAUUGUAAAAGAAAGUAACUUUUUUGUUUUUUUUUUUUCUGAGACAGAGUCUCACUCUGUUGUCCAGGCUGGAGUGCAAUGGCACAGUCUCGGCUCACUGCAGCCUCCACCUCCUGGGUUCAAGUGAUUCUCGUGCCUCAG
ensembl:misc_RNA Metazoa_SRP Metazoan signal recognition particle RNA